UACGUAGGGUGCGAGCGUUACUCGGAAUUACUGGGCGUAAAGCGUGCGCAGGCGGCUUCUCAAGUCAGGGGUGAAAGCCCAGAGCUCAACUCUGGAAUUGCCUUUGAGACUGAGUGGCUUGAGUACGAGAGAGGUGAGUGGAAUUCCCAGUGUAGAGGUGAAAUUCGUAGAUAUUGGGAAGAACACCGGUGGCGAAGGCGGCUCACUGGCUCGUAACUGACGCUCAUGCACGACAGCGUGGGGAUCAAACAGG
rnacentral:rRNA from 1 species